ensembl:lncRNA TTC28-AS1 TTC28 antisense RNA 1
GGGCACACGAGGCCUCCACUGCGGUUGCGCAGCCUGCCGAAGAGCGUGCGGCUUCUACUGCGGCUGCGCAAGCUCGACGCGCGCACUCUUGUCUGCUUACGAGGGCUCCUCCCUUCAGCUUUGGUCCCUCGGGGCGUCUGGGCAGCCUACGCUUUCCGACUGGAAUCAGCCAUUUUACCAAGAAAGUUGGGUUUCUUUUACUGGCAAAUAGUACUUCAAGAGCACAGUCUUAUGUAAGCAUGACCCAUCUGCCUGGCACCAGCACCUGGGGCUGCCAGGCAGCCACCCCUGCAGCUGUGUUGACAGGACCUGGCAGAGGGACUGACCCACCUUUGGAAAAUGACACCAGCAAUAUCAGGAUGUGUCAACUGGAUUUAUGCUAAGAAAAUAGGAUUUUUGGUGUUCCUCUGUUUCCCAAAGUUUGAGACACUUUCAGACACUCUGCUUUGCGGUUGUGGCCGAUGUUACCCAUGGGUGGGACUUUUGCUUUGCUCUAGAUUUUUGUAACACCCUGGGGAGUUUCAGGGGCCAAUGCUGAGAGAAGACCACAGGCUGACACAUCAUGAGGUGCCUAACUUACUGAGAAUCAUGCCUGCUGUGAUGAGCCCUUGGAAACCAUCAGGACUGGAUGGUAGGGGUCCUGAGAGGAUUGGGGGAGGAGGCCUUGAUAUGACAGAGUGGACAGAGGCCGUGGAACCCAGGACAGCCAGCCUGCUCCACAAUCCUCAUCCCCACAGACCUUCAUGUGUGGCUCCUAAAUAAGAGGAAACCCACUCCUGAUAAGUCAGGGGCUUUGAAAAGUGAUUUUGUUUAAAUGGUGCAAACAAGCAAGCCAAUCUUGGGGAGACAGGGCUAAACUUAAGUCCUUUAAGAAGCUCUACAUACUGACAAGAUUCUAGUUCCCUUCCACCUUAUAUGCUGCAAAGUAAAAAGUAUCACUGAAUGAGAAAAUCAGCAUAAAGAAGCCCAAUAAUGUCUGCCUGAGUUUCCCCUAUGAUGACUUUUGGUACUUUUUGGGAAACAUUAAGUAUGAAGUUAUUUCAAAAUAAUUUUUUGGUGCCUCUGCUUGGUGAUGCCUUAAACUCUGGGUAAGAGAAACACCAGGUGCCUGUCAGGAGAUGGCCUUUUCCAGGUUUCUGGUUAAGCUACAAACAGCUAACUGGCUGCUGUCAUCAAAAUAAAAGCUUUCUGAAGGUGGAGGCAUCUGAUACCCAGAGUGCUGCUAUCAGCCGGCACGGUGGGCCGCUGGGUGGCAGGAGCGUCGAGAAGGCCAGCUCGCUUCCUAUCUGGGAUUCAGAAUCAGCUAUGGAAACUUGAGAGACCUAGAGAAAAUAACUUCUUUCACUUUGAACUGAUUCUUUGCUUCAUAAGAAAAGUAUUAUCCAGCCACAAAAAUGGUCAAAAUUCAGAUCUACAAAAGCCUGUCAGGCAGAAACUGACCCCACUUAGGCCACGCCAAUGAGCAAGUCAUCAAAGCAGCCAAGACAGGUCCUGUGGGGGCCACCCAUGCACAGGGCCCAGCCUCGGGUCCUAACCCCGCCUAUGCUUUCCGCCACCAUAAAGAGGCCCAUCUGGGUAAGACCUGUCCCGCCUGCUGUGGGGUAUUAGGGCAGAUGGGGUCUGAGGGGUCUGAGGGCUCUGAGAGCAGCUGGCAGCUCAAGGACAUCCGGAGUUGGAGGAUGGAGCAAUGCAGGCCCUUGUGGUAAAGACAGUCCUGCAGCCGCGCAGGCAGGGAUGCUGCAAGUGGAGUGCCAGGCGGGUGCGGAGCCCUGUGGGACUGUGGAGGGGUCAGAGGGAAGCCAGGAUUUUGGGGUCUCUGAGAGUUUGGAGAAGGGGAAGAAGAUUAAAGCUUGUUUCAAAAGUUUCUAAUCAGGUGGGCAGGGCCAAGGGUGGCUGUGGGGUGAGACCCAUGACUCAGGGUGGCCCACUGUUACUCUAUUGAUUUUUGGGCGUUUUUUUCCAAAUUGAUUAUUCUUGCUGAAUGAGACCUGAGUCCUUGACUGUCCCCUUAAAGCCACCUGACUUGUUUUCAGUUCCACUGGCCUGUCGGGCUGUUUUCUACUCAACUCCACUCUUGCUUGUCUGCCCUCCCUGCCUGGGGCCCAGCCAGCAGUCAGCUCAAGGGCCAGAUGAAUUGGGUGGCUGUGCUCUGCCCACUGGGCAUCGUGUGGAUGGUGGGUGACCAGCCCCCUCAGGUGCUCAGCCAGGCCUCAAGCCUUGCUGUGUACCUCAGAGCAGCUCCGUACCCUGAUGUCACAGCAAAGAAACUUAGACAUGACACAAACUGUGGCUUCCCAAGGCAGCAAAGAAUGGCCAGGGGUCAUGAGGGCCGUGCCCCACUUUUGGACAGACCUACUCUAAAGUCACGCUACCUGCGUGCAAAUCAUAAAAUCAACACUUUUGAGGAGAUCACAGCUAUGCCUUCGUAACACAGCCCAGUCCGACCAGAUAGACGGUGCCUCGUGACCCGAAAACAAGCCCCCGGCCCCCCACCAUGUGUGUGAGCCUUACCUUGGACUGCACGCUGAGGGAGCGGAUGGAAGGGACAGCAAGGAGGCCGAAGCGCUCGUAGAGGUACUCAUUGGAGGAGCUUCCCUUCAGGAGGGCGAAAGGAAUGAGGUAGAGCUCCCCCUCCAGAACCAGGAUGAGCUGCCGGUGCCGGCCCACGGGGCCGCUGGAGUGCAUCAGGCCCUAUGGAGCAAGCACGGAGAGGCUGACAUGGGUGGCCCAGCAGGCAGGGGUUUCAGGCACCAGGACAACCCUGAGCCCUAGCCUGGAUGACACAAGCACGAGCAGGUGAGGCCUGUGGGGGUGUGGGGCGCCAUGGGGCAUGGGCCGAGUUGCAGCCCUGCAGGAGCGGCACCAACUGGCAUGCUCGCUUGUGGACUGGCAAGGGCUGGCCUGGCAGCAUCCAUCUGCCUCACAGUCCUGAGAAGGUUAGAGGACAGUUUCUUGAAGUUCACAAGAACCUGAAGUGGGUUGGAGACCGGUCUGUACCGCACAGGCACCCUGAGAAGGGGUGGGAAUGGCCCCUCUCAAAACAAGAUCUGUUUUCCAUUUCAAUGGACAAGAGGCUAGAAAAUCACAGUGAGGACGGGAGGUCUGGGGGCUGGCAUGACAGCCCCUGUAGAAGGGGAUGGGCUGGGUUCUAGGAUCUUCCGUGACCUCCUCUGAGAAAGAGUGGCCCCUUGGCUCUGGGCUUGGGAGGUGCCGUCCCCACUUGUUCCCUCUGGGGAUGUCAGGGGACCCAAUGCAUGGAUGACUCCCAUCCCUCUUGAAAGGCCGAGCAUGAGGACUCGAGGCAGGGUGUGCACAGGGCCACAGCGGACACAGCCUCAUUCCUGUUCAUUGCAGAACAAGGCUAAGGGCGCGGGCAUCUUAAUGAGAGCAGCAGGCAACAAUCCUGGAAGCUGGGUCCACACAGACUGCGGUGAACAAAGAGGUGGCGUGGAAGCUGCUGCUGCAGCCCAGAGCCUGCCAAGAAGGUCCCAGGUCCACAGGGCCUGCGCAACACUGGGUGCCAGGGGUGGGGCUGGCCUGCCCCCCAACCCCAUCUGCUGAGGAGUGGCUGACAAGCGGACACCCACCAGGGUGCCACUCGCUUGUGCCUGGGGAAGCAAAUGUGCUCGCUUGACCCGUCUGAUGUGCUGCCGUGGGCACUUGACUGAGAGUGGCAGAGCACUAGGCUAACCCAAAGUGACACAUGCCUGGCGGGAUGUUCAGUCUCUGUAAA